rnacentral:rRNA from 1 species
GCUUUACAAUAAAUUAAUUAAAUUAUAAAUUAUAAGUUUAACUUAAUUUAAUUAGUAUUUGUUUCGUUGGGGCGACGAGAAUAUAAUUAUAUAACUGUUCUUUUAUUGUUAUAACAAAUUUAAUUGGGUGAAAAUUGAUCCUUUUAUAAAGAUUAAAAGAUUAAGUU